GGCAGAGGGUGGGAGGAGACGGGCUGGCCGAGGGGCAGAGAAAAGGCAGGAAGGAAGCUGAUAUAAAAAAAAAAAAAUCUAUCUUGAGAAACAAUUCCUCUCCAUCUUUAAACCUAUGAAACUCAAAAAAUAAAAUCUGCUCUUGAAAUCUAAUGAUUAGACAGGCAUAGAAUACCAGUUAUAGACAUUCUGGCUAAAAGGGGAGAAAAUUUAAAGGAAAAAAGAAGUCACUAGUUCAAAAUAUUUUCAAAAUUCAGCUGUUUAAACUUCCUUUGUAUUACAUAAAAUUAAUUAUUAUUAUAUAAAUAUUAUUUUAUUUAAUGAUGGGAUUAUAGUAUUUCUUUGUGUGUGUAAUAAAACUUGAAACAACCUUACAAUAAAUUUAAUUGCUUAAUCCUUACCUUCCUCCGAGUUAACCUGACAAGUAAACUUUGAUUGUUUUUUUCUAUAAGUAUUUUAGACAUUAAGUUGCCACAUAUUACAUGUUUAUUUUGGUUUAGCUGUGUGUUCCUGGGAUCAAUCUAGCACCAGCUUUCUUUACUGAUAUCUGACUAAAUAUUCUCAGAAUUGGAUACCUUUUUUUUUUUUUUUUUUUUUUUUUUGUCUUUUUAGGCCACAGGCUGGGGUCGAAUCGGAGCUGUUGCUGCUGGCCUACGCUAGAGCCACAGCAAGGCCAGAUCUAGCCAUGUCACGGCAACACCUGAUCCUUAAACCUACUGAGCAUGGCCAGGGAUUGAACCCUCAAUCUCAUGGUUCUAGUUGGAUUCGUUUCCUCUGUGCCACGACAGGAACUCCAGAAUUGGAUACCUUUAAUAUCUUCAUGGAAACUUCAUUUUGGCCUUUUGUCAAGUAUUUGGUGAAGUGCCUGACAUCUCAUUGGUGUUCUACAAACGUUCACCAAAAUAAACAGUGACUCGAAACAUCUGGACAAGAAGAUAAAAUUAAAAAAAAAAAAAACAACAAAGUAGAGGCAUGGCUACCUUCAGUAAGUCCCGAACAGGAAUGCACCAGGCUCAGGCAAUGCCUGUGGCCUCAGGGUUACCCUAAGAGAUAAGAAGGCAAAGGACACAUGACCUUGACUACUUUAUUCCCCUCUUGCACACUGUGAAUGGACCAAACCUAUGUCUGGACCCACCCAAAAGGGAAAACUAUGUUGGACUCAGGUAUGUCGGGGAUGAGAGAGCGAGGUUAGAAUUUGACACCCAAGAAAGAAGAGGUGGAAUAGUGGUUGGAUGUGCGUUUGACAUUUUCUGUCAUUGCUGCCCUUUUCUUCCCUCACAACAUGGUUCUUUGAGCAGGAAGACCCAGGGGAACAUGGCUAGGGAGUAACACAGUUAUUACCUUAAGACAAAGAAAUGAAAGAUACAGAAGAAUCUAAUUCAUGUAUCAAUGCUCACUUGUAACCACUGAAUAAACUUUGGAUGUGACCCUCCAUGUUACUUUAUAAUCGUGGCUGAGAUCAAUGGCUCUGCAAAGCCCUUUGCUCUACUUGCCUUGUGAGAUUGUUUUGAAGAGAAACCUGGGAAGUCAAAGUGGGGGAAGUUUGGCUCAUCCCCCUCCCCACAAAGGAACUGGAACUGUCUGUGGAAACAGUCUUCCUUAAAAAGAAAGGAGUUUCUUAUGGAAAUAGUCAGAAAGCAAGCCAGUAGGAUGGGAGAGUGACACAGAGAGCUGUCUCCUCAUUGUUUACGGAGCUCUGCUCCGUGAUUUCCAAACUCUUUUACAAACUAGAGCCUGUGAACCCAUUUUUGUUGGUGCAUGAGAACCUCCACCUAGAAUAAUAAUCAUAUUUAUGAAUACUUUUGAUGUGUUGGAUUAUUUUUCUUUCCAAAUGAGAAAUUAGCCAGAUCCCUUUAUGUUGCAUUGGAAAGAACUGUUGGGUUUAAACCGGGGAAUGGGAAUCAUAUAUCUAGCUAUAAGCUUAAGUAGCCAAAAUCUUGACUGCAUAUUGACACUUUUUAAAAAUCCUCUUCUCAUAUCAAGAUUAUUUUUCUGUGUUGCUAUCUGUCAUGACAAGUGUGAUUAAAUAUUUUAGCAAUGGAAUUCAACUGGCACAUGUAUCACAAAACAAUUUCUGUGGUUUGAAAAUAAUAUUAAAAAAUCUUUUAUUUUAGCAAUACCAAAUGUUCCUUUGAGGUUAACAUCUUGUGACAGGAAAUGAAUAGAGCAUUAAAAAAAUAUGUAGCUAGACAUCAUAUGAACAUUUAGUAUACUUUCCUAUAAGGAAAUUUCCUUCUGCAGAUACUUAUUCUAAAUUUCUUGCUAAAUAAAAUGUUAUCCAGAAUAAGAAUACCUUAUAAACAAGGCAUAGCAAACAAUUGAUAAACAAAACAUUAUUUUUAAUUGAAAUUGUUUUUAUUAACUGCUUCUGGGUGUUCUUAAAUUCUGAGAAUUCAAGUUUGAAUAUGACCAAAAUGUCUACAUUUAAAGAAGUGAUGAGCUAUUUAACACAUUUUGUGGGCCAUAUAAUUUGCUUUGAUGAUUAGGGCCCUGUGCAAAUAAAGAAGAGGCCACAAUUCCAAAUAAAUAAAUAAAUAAAUCUAUUUUGUCCAAAGGCCACUAGUAACAUUCCCCUUUCUAUUCAGCUAUACCAAACAUAAUCACACAUCCUCAGCAACUAAAUCUGACAAUUCAAAAAACAACCUGACAGUAUUAAGAAGUUCAGAUUUACAGUAGUAAGAGGUUCAGAAAUUUCUGCUAUCACAUGAUUCCUUUAUUUUUCAGUUUGUUAGUUUGCUGUUUAAUAAAUAGAUUGUUACAUCCCACUUGUUGCAAAUGAGACUUGAUGAUACUCCUAGGAAGAAAUAACUGAAACUUGAAAGUGCUUAGUUUCUCAGAGCUUAUUUUCUCUGUGGCAUGGGUUCGGUCCCUGGCUGGGAACUUCCACAGGUGUAGAAUAAUUUUCUAAAUU
rnacentral:lncRNA from 9 species